rnacentral:rRNA from 1 species
UACGGGGGGUGCGAGCGUUGUCCGGAAUCACUGGGCGUAAAGGGCGCGUAGGUGGUCUGAUAAGGGUGUGGUGAAAGCCCGGGGCUCAACCCCGGGUCGGCCGUGCCGACUGUUAGACUAGAGUGCUGUAGGGGCAGGCGGAAUUCCGGGUGUAGCGGUGGAAUGCGUAGAGAUCCGGAGGAAGACCGGUGGCGAAGGCGGCCUGCUGGGCAGUUACUGACACCGAGGCGCGACAGCGUGGGGAGCAAACAGG